CUGGGCUAGACAACGGCGGACCGUCCUAGAAAUAGGACUUUCCUUUCGGGGACCGCCGGUUCAGGUGCUGCAUGGCUGUCGUCAGCUCGUGCCGUGAGGUGUUGGGUUAAGUCCCGCAACGAGCGCAACCCUCGUCCUUAGUUGCCACCAUUCAGUUGGGCACUCUAGGGGGACUGCCGGCGUUAAGCCGGAGGAAGGUGGGGACGACGUCAAGUCAUCAUGGCCCUUAUGUCCAGGGCCACACACGUGCAACAAUGGGCGGUACAAAGGGUCGCAAACCCGCGAGGGGGGGCCAAUCCCAAAAAGCCGCUCUCAGUUCGGAUUGGAGGCUGCAACUCGCCUCCAUGAAGCCGGAAUCGCUAGUAAUCGUGGAUCAGCAUGCCACGGUGAAUACGUUCCC
rnacentral:rRNA from 1 species